rnacentral:rRNA from 1 species
AUUGAACGCUGGCGGCAGGCCUAACACAUGCAAGUCGAGCGGAUGAGUGGAGCUUGCUCCAUGAUUCUGCGGCGGACGGGUGAGUAAUGCCUAGGGAUCUGCCUGGUUGUGGGGGACAACGUUUCGAAAGGAACGCUAGUACCGCAUACGUCCUACGGGAGAAUGUGGGGGAUCUUCGGACCUCACGCUAUCAGAUGAGCCUAGGUCGGAUGAGCUAGUUGGUGAGGUAACGGCUCACCAAGGCGACGAUCCGUAACUGGUCUGAGAGGAUGAUCAGUCACACUGGAACUGAGAAACGGUCCAGACUCUUACGGGAGGCAGCAGUGGGGAAUAUUGGACAAUGGGCGAAAGCCUGAUCCAGCCAUGCCGCGUGUGUGAAGAAGGUCUUCGGAUUGUAAAGCACUUUAAGUUGGGAGGAAGGGCAGUAAGUUAAUACCUUGCUGUUUUGACGUUACCAACAGAAUAAGCACCGGCUAACUUCGUGCCAGCAGCCGCCGUAAUAC